UUGAGAGAGGAAUGUGAGUAGACAUCUGGAGACUUUAUCCAUUCCCCUUUUUAUUUUACCCAAAUGAAAAUAGCCCACCCAUCAUAAAAUCUACAAAAAUACCUCGCCUGCUUCAUUCUUCAUCUCUCUCACUCCGAUCUCACCCUCCUAACCCUAAAAGAAGCUUAGAAGAGGGGUUUGAAGACCUUCUUGAACAGAAUACAGAUGAAAAGGUGGAUGAAAUUGUUGUAAAGGAUUUAAUAAACAGGAAAAGUUGAAAAGGAAAGAUGAGCAAAUCUUUCAAGUCAAAAGGAGGUCAAAUGUGAAAGUAAAGGGCCCUCUUUCCACCUACUCUCCAUCUGCUUAAGCAGAUCAAGAGCAAGGUGAAACUUUUAUAAUAUUGGGCAAAUCUGGAAUUGGGCUUAAAAUGGGGAAUUUUCGUUCAUUUUCACCAUCUUUUAUCUAGUAACUCUCCAUCCUUAGUUUAGUGGAGGGUUUGCAAUCUCUUGGAGCUUAAAUUUGAACUAAUUUGAGGCAAGAAUUAAUUAGAGGAAAUCCGAAGUGUAGAUUUGACUUCUUCUAUUGAAGAUUCAUUUGAGUUUGAAGUGUGAUUUAUAUAUAUUUAUUUUUCAUGAAUAACUUUGAUGGAAAUCUUGGUCUAUUUGGAUUCAUUAUCUUUAUGAUUUGAUAGAUCUACCGCUUGGGGGUUAUGCGUGAUUAAGGUGCAAGUAUGUGUGGAUUGUAGUUGUAGCUCAAAUUCUUAGUUAAUGUUGAUGGGUUCUAUUAUUUCUUGAUUAAAUUGGUUGGAAUUUGUGGGUGAAAUCCCCAAAUACUCAAAUGGGUUUGAUGAAUGAAAAUCCCUUGAAAGCUCAAACUAUCCUUGAAAGAGGAGUUCGGGUAAACUUUUGGAACCCACCUCAUCCUUGAAAGAGGGAUGUGGUAACCUAGGCAAUAGUAGACAAUUUAUAGGAAUAGUUCACUAAUUUUUACUAUCGUAGACGUAAGGGUGAUUUUGAGGUUGACUAUACCUUUAGGCAUCAUCCUAGAAAUAGGAACUCCCAAUUGAGGUUUUGGGUGAAAUUUUGGCAACAGCCAUGAGGUAUUCGAAAGAAACCAUGGGUGACAUUUUUGAUGUUUUGUUGAAAAGCUAACAUAAAAAAACCUCUAACCUAGCGUACCCGCUCUUUCAUUAACUUGAAUUGGAUGAUACUUUCAUGUAUACACACAUACUAAUUUUCCCCUAGGAAAGCAUAACCCAAAGAUCCAUUCCUUAUUAAUUACCCUCUAAUCUAUUCUUAGUCUCGAAUUAGUCUCUUAGAAUCCCAAGAAUUGCUUUCACAUUUGAAAAGAUUGAAAAUGCCCCAAACUAUUUUGCACCAUAGGUUUGAACUUAGCUAGUAGCUAUCAUUUCGAAGCUAGUCAACCGCCACUCACAUUGUUCCUCGUGGAUUCGACCCCGACUCCUAGUUGGGUAAAUAUAUUGACAACGACUGACUUACACUAAAUUGACGUGUAAGUUGAGUGUUAUCAGUGCCACGGGCCUAUCCCAAUGGUUCCACUAUUUUCGUCUCCCAAACAUGACCCCACGCUCGACCAAAAGUUUCAAAACUCACCCGAUAUGUACUUUUAACCUCCCUAAUCAUGAAUCAACUAAAAACCAACAUUUCGGGGUUGGGAAGGUCGAUUUAAAAAUCUAUAAAGUCUAGAGGUCUUGAAAAUGACUAUGUCCUAGACACUUGGUAAAGUUUUCAGGCCUUAAGACCAUUAUGCAUGCAACUAAAAGGUAAACUGAGCUAAGAUUAGCACGGGGUAUUACAUUAUCUCCCCUGGGAUCAUUCCUCCCCGAAUGAUAGUUCGAGACACAUUAAGUAUGAUUUAAAGAAUUACAUAAACUAAAAAUGAGUAAGAUAUAUUCAAUACCUUCCAUAUCAUUAUCCACGAAUUCAAAGAGUGAUGGAUAUCUUGCACGUUUAUCAUGCUCCGACUGUCAAGUAGCUUCCUCAACUCUAUGAUUCUUCCAGCACACUUAAACCGAAGCUAUAUCUUUACUUCUUCACUUCCUAACCUGUCGAUCUUGUAUAGCAAUGGGUUCUUCUUCAUACGAUAAGGAAUCCUUCACAUCAACAUCCUCAACAGGCAACACAAGUGAAUGAUCUCCAAUAUAUUUCUUCAAUAUUAAUACAUGAAAAUAGGAUGAACAGAAGCUAAACCUGUAGGAAAAUCUAACUCAUAAGCAACUCCACCGAUCCUUUUUGUAAUUUAAUAAAGACCUAUUUA